UACGUAGGGUGCGAGCGUUGUCCGGAAUUAUUGGGCGUAAAGAGCUCGUAGGCGGUGUGUCACGUCGUUCGUGAAAACCUGCAGCUUAACUGUGGGCGUGCGGUCGAUACGGGCAUCACUGGAGUUCGGCAGGGGAGACUGGAAUUCCUGGUGUAGCGGUGAAAUGCGCAGAUAUCAGGAGGAACACCGGCGGCGAAGGCGGGUCUCUGGGCCGAUACUGACGCUGAGGAGCGAAAGCGUGGGGAGCGAACAGG
rnacentral:rRNA from 1 species